GCCGGGCACGGUGGUGGUGCACGCCUGUAAUCCCAGCGUCCGGGGAGGCUGAGGCAGGAGGAUCACGAGUUCAAAGCCAGCCUCAGCAAAAGGGAGGCACUGAGCAGCUCAUUGAGACCCUGUCUCUA
rnacentral:sRNA from 1 species